rnacentral:lncRNA from 1 species
UUGAGAUACAUGAAAGAUGUCAUGGAUAGCGGAGAGUCGGGGUGGAAGUUUUACUCGAUAGGCAAUGGGUCCACAGAUUUCCGUGAUCUCAUAGGGACCAAUAUAUCGAGGAGCUAAUUUUCCUUUUACUCCAAACCUCAUCACACCCUUGGUUGGUGAAACCCGAAGGUAUACAUGGUCACCAUCUUUGAAUUGAAGUGGUUUCCUCCUCUUGUCGAAAUAGCUCUUUUGCCUAGAUUGGGCGGCUUUAAGGUUUUCUCUUAUUAUUCUCACCUUCUCUUCCACCUCAAUUACCAAAUCAGGCCCAUAUACUUUUCG